AAGCAUCAAGACAGUCUUCCAUGAAGUCCAACAACAAGGCUGCCUUGGCUUUCUUUGCCACCGCACUUCUGAUGUCUGGAUUUUUUCCAUUUCUCUCUUCCUCCUUCUCACAGGCUGCUGAUAUAUGAAAGAGGGCUGUGUGAUUCUGGCUCUAAUUUCCACUGAAAGUAGGAGGUUUAUGGCCUUUUCUUAGGUCUUUCCCACAUACUACAUUCUUCAAGCUGUGUCUCCCUGGUAGAAAGUGAACUGCUUGAAGGCUUGGGGCACUUCUGGCUUCCACUUUCAAGAGAGAUGAUGGAAGAUACCAAUUCUACUUUGGGCACCUGAAGGAAAAGACUAUGAAAACUCUGACAUGAGAGCAGCUGGCAAUCUCCAUCAUUUCUGUAUCUCCAACUAGAGACUUUAAGGAACUUCCCCUUGGGGUCUCAUCUGGAACUGGUCAGGCAUGGAGAACAUUGGCACAGAGAGUUAAAAAGAAAAAUAAAAUUCUCCUGGAGAAACAGACAACAGGGCAAAGAAUUCAAAAGGGUCCCUUUGGUGUUGCUGGAAAAUACAAGGAAAUUAAGUCAACAAUUGAAAAAUCAUUUUCUCUUCUCUUUUUUUACAAAAUCAGUUUUAUAAAAAGGAAUAGCCAAUGGAUAACUGAUCUUUGUUUCUGUAUGCUAGUGCCCUAGACUCCUACAACUGUCCCUUUGUCUUGAUUUUGCUAACAUCCCUUACAAAUUCCCCUGGGCUCCCUAGUGUCUCUGUGCUUGGGGAGUUGAGCAUGUAAAUCCUCCUGCCUAGAGAUGAAAAUAUGCCCUUCCUCUCCCCACCUAGUUUGUACCAGACACUUUUAGAUUCACAUGCAAAGGUUGGCUUCCCCAGAAAAAACCAGCAGUGAAGCAAUAAAACCUUCAUGUGCUUGAGUGCCUAGGGAUUG
rnacentral:lncRNA from 1 species